CUAAAAGCCAAACCAGGGCAUGACACAUGGAGUCCACUUUCUCACAGGCUGUCCUCAGUUUGCUUUAAUGCCAUAUGGGAAUAAUAGUAAGAUCAACAACGACUGUUUCUCCACAGAAUCAAAGGUAUACACUCCAUCCCUCUGUGUGUUAAGUCGUAAAAUAAAAUAGGAAGAGGGGAAAAGAGAGGUAUGCAUUUCAUCUUCAGUUUUGUGAAACUGGCAAGUCUCCACUUGAAGUCUAAGAAAUCACCCACGCACAUGUUAAAACUGGCAAGGCUGUGCAGCAAGGCAUAAACUCCACUGUGGGAACUGAAGUAUCUUUUAAGGAGAAGAAAAACAGCCUGAAGUAAUAGUUGUACUUCAUCACAUUAUGUGGCUAAGUAGUUUCUUGUUCACAAGGAGAUGUAAUAUGUAUAUUUUAAAAAAUGAAGCAAGGUUAAAGACCAUCUGUAACAAUAUUAUACUGGGAACAGUAAACCCUUUGCUAAAAUAAAGGCAUGGUGCAGCAAGAAAUGUGGAAAGCAUAUGCUUUCCAUAAAAGACCUGAGCAAACUGAAGACAUAGAAAUACUUUACAACAUUUUAACCUUAGGGCCUUUCUAGAAGAGAGAAAGGCUGCACAAAAGCCAUUAGUGCUAAAUAGCCAGUUUGAGCAAAUAUAAUAUAUUGUUAAUAAGGAACAGUGCUAGCAUGGAAAGUAACCACAUUAUCAGCGAUUCCCACCAGUGCAUGGUACCAACAUACUAACAACAAAACCUGUCAUAAGAACUGGCCUUGACUUUUCAAAUUUAAACAUACAUUAUACAUCAGAGCAUAUUAAAAGACAUAGGCUGACAUCCAGACUAAUGUUAUGUGUGCCGAAAAAAGGUGUGUGUAUGUGUGGGCAAGACGGUUUUCACGGAUCUCCCCUUCCCUUUUUAGCCCACUUGUGAUUCUGAAUAUAUGGCCUGGGGGCUGCAAAACCCUCAGGGACAUAUUUUUGGGAGUCACAGUGGGCUAAAAAGGGAAAGGGAGCUCAGUUAAAAUCAUCUUGCCUCCAAGACAUCUUAACUAUUACUUUAGUAACCCAAGCUUACUUUAGUAAUGGGGCUUUAACUUUAGUAACCGGGCUUACUUUAGUUAACCCAGGCUUGCUCCAGUCUGGAUUAUUAUAAAUUUUAUGGGCUCAAUGAAGGAUGAUAAAAUACAAAGAGAGUCCAGAGAAGACUGAGUCAUUGACAACAGGUGAUUCUGUCGAUCCAGGAUGUGUUGUAUUGUCAGUUCUGGAUGGGGUCACACUCCCUACGGAGCACUUUUGUAGUUAGGAAAUAUUUUGGAAUUACAAGUUGGUCUUGAAAGGUCAGGUGGCAGCAGUGGGAUGGAAUACAUGCUACCAGCUUGUCCUGGUAUACCAGCUAUUCUCAUUUCUGGAGAAUAAAGAUCAGGCACCCAUAUUACUGUAAAAUCUUAUCUGAAUUACUGCAGUGCCCUCUAGAUGAGCUUGCCCUUGAAGAAAAUAGUCCAGAAACUUCAGGCUGUGCAGAAUGUGGCAGACAUUAUUAUCAGAUGCAAACCAUAGGAGUCACAUUCCUUCCUUUUGUAAAGAUUUUCACUGAGUUCACAGUUAACAACAAUAGCUUUAUUUAUUGGCUGCCUCCUAACACUUGUUCUCGGGGUGGCUCACAAACAAAAAUCAGUAGAAUAAAACAAACAAUUAAAAGCACAUUGCAAACAAAAAGCUGCAAUAACAUUUUUGGAAAGAUUUUUUAAAAGCCUGGCGGAAUAAGAAGGUCUUCACCUAAAAGAGCAUAGUGAUGAUGCCAGGCAAGCCUCACUGGGGAGGCUCUUCCUUGAACCGGCUCCUCCAGUUUGGACAAUACAAAUGCUGGCUCCUCCACAUCACAAGGGACAAGAGUACCAGCAUGCACAUCUCCCCUUGCUUAUCUAGUGUGCUGUCCAGCUGCCACAUAAUCAUAUGGGGACCGUUUGUCUGAGCCAAUCCUUGACAAAUGAAUUCAAUACUACAUUUUAUUAUUAUUUAAUUCACGUUUUGAGAGGUGGUCCAGGCCAGGGAUUCUCAACGCUGGGUCCCCAGAUGUUAUUGGGCUUCAACUCCCAUAAUCCCCAACCAAAGGCCACUGGGGCUGGGGAUUAUGGGAGUUGAAGUCCAAUAACAUCUGAGAACCCAAUGUUGAGAAUCCCUGGUACAGGCAAUCCCCGUCCACAUGAUUAUGCAAUGGUGGGAAAACAUACCAGGUAGGAGAGAAGAGAGAACAUAUGUUCCUCCCUACAUAGUGCAGAAGGCCAGUGGAUACAUCUAUCGACUGAACCAGCCCCACUGGCUGAUUGUUCCUGGGCUCAGUUCAAAGUGCUGGUGCUACAGCCCUAAAUUGCUUGAGUCCUGCAACCUAUUCCCAUAUGAACCUCCCUGCACUCCCAGAUCUUCUGGGAUGCACUAUUACCCAUGCUGCCAUAUUUUUGUGUCCAGUAUUUUCAUUAUUACAGGUGAGGACACAUGCACAAGAGCCCAGCCCAGUAUUGUGAUGUUUGCACUCAUCCACACUAAAUCAUUUUUGUUCUGUGUAUUUCUUCUUAUCUUAUGAUGAACAAGAAGGACAAGCUGAUGGCCUUCACUUCAAAUGCAAACUACCUUUAAAGUAGUUUAACUGUCAUGGCAACCAUCAGAUAAUUCUGGCAACUGGAAUUGUGUAAAGGACUGAGACUUCUUUGCUAGAGCUGGUGUGCUAACUAUGUCACAAAACUUAGUUUCUGAGAUUCCUUGGUUGGAAGUAAUGAACAUAAAAUAUGUUUGAAACUGGUUUAAGUGAGCAGUGUAGAUUUGCCUAAGAUGUCCAGUGCCAAACUGCCCAUUGAUAGGCUUGUGAUGAAGUCUUUUUGAGUCAACAGAAAUACUUUAGAGGGUUUGAAUCGAGUUUGUAUUGGAAAUAAAAUCAUUGACUAUAAAACAGUAAUAUGAUGAUACUAUUAUGUAUUCUAAUAUCCGCUAUGAUGCCUUGGGAUCACUGACUAACUAUUCCCAUCUUAACAUCCAAUUAGCGUACCUUAAAGGUUUUUUAUUAUAAACCAAGGCAUAGUUAGAAUAAUUAUCUUUGUACCCAUUACCAAGGGCAUGUUUAUAUUAUGCCUUUUGGGGCGGGGGUGUUAUCUGGAAAUAGCACUGCACAGAAGACUUUAAGUGAUUCAUUAAUGCUGUGCACAGGUUUCUUUUCAAUUUAUUAGGAAAUAUUAGCAUAUGGAAUUAAUUUUCUUAAGAACAGAUAGGUACGAGUGAAAGAUUAAUAAUGAUUAUAUCAGAAUAAUAGCUUUUAUCAUCUUCCUGGACUCGAGGGUCUGAAAAGUUAUUUUUGGUGGGAUUUACCCCACUAGAGCAGAAAGAUGCAGAGGUAUACAGAAUAACUGAAGCUAUUGAUUUGUGGAGAUAUCUUUCCAUCCCUUUUGUGAGAUUCAAAUUUACCUCUUUUUGCCUUCUCAUUAUCAUCUUGUGUUCUCAUUUCACUUUGGGCUGGUUUGGACAAUACACCCUUUGGCCCAUCCUAAAAGCCUGAAGGAGGAAUGUAUGUGCACGUGUCCCACGCACCCACCCCCACACACAUCUGGUGCACCUUAAGAACAUAAGAACAGCCCUGCUGGAUCUGGCUCAAGGCCCAUCUAGUCCAGCAUCCUGCACACAAUGGCCCACUAGAUGCCACAGUGAAGCCCGCAGGCAGGGGGUGAGGGCUUGCACCCUCUCCUGCCUUUGCUUCCCUGCAACUGGUAUUUAGUAGCAGCAUGCCUCUGAGGCUGGAGGUGGCCUAUAGCCACCAGACAUAAGAACAUAAGACAUAAUCCAAUUUAAUAAGGGCAGAAGAACAUAAGGUAAUGGGUACCUUCUGACUGCCACAUAAUCAUGCAGGGGCAAUCAUGAAGAAGCAGGACAGUGUACCAGGGGGAGACAUGCCCACUUACAUUGCCCUCCCAUGUGAUCAGGAUGGACCAGAGGAUGUGUUGUCAAAACCAGCCCAGAUACAACAAAAGCAUGCCGCAAUUCUCCUUUGAUCUUUUGCCAGGGUCUUGCAUGGGUGGGCUUGUAGUAUUAUGUCUUCUUUCUGUUUUGUUCCUUACCUUUUACAUUCAAUCGAUGUGCUCCAGCUAGGUUUUCAUGAAAUUGUGAGACAAACUGAGCUUACAUCUUGGUUCCAGACUUUGUGGGAAAUUUGAGAGGCUGUUUCCUUUGCUCCCCCAGCCCACAAACAAUGCUAAGCCUGUACAACUUGUGAUCUUCAAGCCAAAUGAACCCAAUCAGCUAUGUAUGGGGCUUAUCAAGCACCCAUCAGGCCGUGGCUGGCUGGCUGGCUGUGUUUGGCUUGGUAGGCCUUACAUUGUACAUGAGCCAGCCUUGGGGAAAAAUCUAAUUUUUCUGAACUGUCAAGCUCUUUAACCAAAAAUAACAUAUAGCAGAUACUGUGUACAGGACAAACCAUCAGAGAGGAGAGCAAAUUAAUCAGAGAAAACAUGGACCAAUGCUACCACAUAAAGCACUCAGCUAUAAUUGUGGAAAGAGUAAGACUGAGGGAAAGAAACUGUAUGUGCUUGUUUGAUACCACAAGACCCAUACCAGGGUGUUUGUUAAACUGGCUUGUGGCAGCUCAGCUCUCAGUAUAUAUUGUAGACCUUAUGAAAACAUUAUUCUGGGAACAGACCUGCUGUGCUAGGUGGUAAAGAACCACUAAUCUGGUUAUUUUCUCUUGUUUGUUUCCUCUGCCAAGUAAGAAAAGUCAGGGGGCACAGGCAUCUCUGAGCAUGGCAACAACAAAAAAUGAGUAAAACUACAAAGGCAGCUGAGAACUAUGCAGAGUGGUAAUUUAUUUGCAGAAACCUAGCUAGAUAUAAGCUUCCUAAAUCCUUGUGCACAGAACUGCUGUGCUCUAUAAAAUAAAGCAAGGUUGUAGUUUCAAGGUUAUAUUAACAAGGAAAACUUGUCAUCUAGAGUUAGCCUUCAUAGCACCAAGCAUAUGGAAAUUAUAUCUUUUUGUGUCACUGUAAAGCGAACAAUGUUGAAGGGAGAAUAAAAAUAUCUGAUGACUUCUCAAAAGUCACUGAUAACUUUGUGAAAAAGUUCAAAAUGUGAUGAAUUAAACUGAAUAAAUAUCUCAGAUGUCUAAA